rnacentral:rRNA from 1 species
GCAUCGAUGAAGAACGCAGAGAAAUGCGAUAAGUAAAGUGAAUUGCAUAAUUCAGGUGAAUCAUCGAAUCUUUGAACGCACCUUGCGCUCCUUGGUAUUCCGAGGAGCAUACCAGUUUGAGUGUCAUGGUAUUCUCAAUUGUUCAGGUCUUUUUGUGAGACUCUGAUGAUAUUGGACUUGGAGGUUUAUUGCUGGCAUCUUGCAGGUGCCUGCUCCUCUCAAAUGCAUCAGUAUGAAUGUUCACUUCAUGCUCAGUGUGAUAAUUAUCUGCACUGUGUCUGAGUGUUAUGGAUUCAUGCUUCAAACGGUCGUCAAGACAAUUCAUUUGACUUCUGACCUCAAAUCAGGUAGGACUACCCGCUGAACUUAAGCAUAUCAAUAAGCGGAGGGAAAGAAACUAACAAGGAUUCCCCUAGUAACUGCGAGUGAAGCGGGAAAAGCUCAAAUUUAAAAUCUGGCAGUCUUUGGCUGUCCGAGUUGUAAUCUGGAGAAGCGUCUUCCGUGC